rnacentral:lncRNA from 1 species
CCCCGCCACAUUAUUUAUGUAUGUGCCUGUCCCAAGUCAGGAGCCUGUAAUUCAGUGGUUUUCGUUUGUUUAUGUGUUACAUGUUUGUUUUUCGUUCUUUUUUUUUACAUAAAUAAGGCCGUUAGUUUUCUCAUUUGAAUUGUUUUACAUUGUCUUAUCGGGGCCUUUUAUAGCUGACUAUGCGGUAUGGGCUUUGCUCAUUGUU